rnacentral:rRNA from 1 species
GAUGAACGCUGGCGGCGUGCCUAAUACAUGCGAGUCGAGCGAACAGAUAAGGAGCUUGCUCCUUUGACGUUAGCGGCGGACGGGUGAGUAACACGUGGGUAACCUACCUAUAAGACUGGAAUAACUCCGGGAAACCGGGGCUAAUGCCGGAUAACAUUUAGAACCGCAUGGUUCUAAAGUGAAAGAUGGUUUUGCUAUCACUUAUAGAUGGACCCGCGCCGUAUUAGCUAGUUGGUAAGGUAACGGCUUACCAAGGCAACGAUACGUAGCCGACCUGAGAGGGUGAUCGGCCACACUGGAACUGGAACACGGUCCAGACUCCUACGGGAGGCAGCAGUAGGGAAUCUUCCGCAAUGGGCGAAAGCCUGACGGAGCGACGCCGCGUGAGUGAUGAAGGUCUUCGGAUCGUAAAACUCUGUUAUUAGGGAAGAACAAAUGUGUAAGUAACUGUGCACGUCUUGACGGUACCUAAUCAGAAAGCCACGGCUAACUACGUG